AAACAACCAGAAAAGAAAUGAGAGAACAUAAAAGCAAACAACAACUUUGAGCGGUGGAUC
rnacentral:rRNA from 1 species